rnacentral:rRNA from 1 species
CCCUUAGAUGUUCUGGGCCGCACGCGCGCUAAACUGACGGAGUCAACGAGUUGUCCUGCAUCGGAAGGUGUGGGUAAUCUUUUGAAACUUCGUCGUGCUGGGGAUAGAUCUUUGCAAUUUUCGAUCUUGAACGAGGAAUUCCUAGUAAGCGUGAUUCAUCAGAUCGCGUUGAUUACGUCCCUGCCCUUUGUACACACCGCCCGUCGCUACUACCGAUUGAAUGGUUUAGUGAGGCCUCGGGACUGGCGCGCUCGAGUAGCAAUACACCUGCGCGCCGGGAACUUGGUCAAACUUGAUCAUUUAGAGGAAGUAAAAGUCGUAACA